AUUGAACGCUGGCGGCAUGCCUUACACAUGCAAGUCGAACGGCAUCGCGGGAAAGCUUGCUUUCCUGGCGGCGAGUGGCGAACGGGUGAGUAACACAUCGGAACGUACCGGCUAGUGGGGGAUAACCCGUCGAAAGACGGGCUAAUACCGCAUACGCUCUUCGGAGGAAAGCAGGGGACCUUUGGGCCUUGCGCUAGCCGAGCGGCCGAUGUCCGAUGAGCUAGUUGGUGGGGGAAAGGCCUACCAAGGCGACGAUCGGUAGCGGGUCUGAGAGGACGAUCCGCCACACGGGGACUGAGCCACGGCCCAGACUCCUACGGGAGGCCGCAGUGGGGAAUCUUGGACAAUGGGGGCAACCCUGAUCCAGCAAUGCCGCGUGGGUGAAGAAGGCCUUCGGGUUGUAAAGCCCUUUCGGCAGGGAAGAAAUCGGCGGGGCGAAUAACCCUGCUGGAUGACGGUACCUGCAGAAGAAGCACCGGCUAACUACGUG
rnacentral:rRNA from 1 species